GACUAUGUGGCGUAAUGCAUAAGGCAUCUAACUUCGGCUCAGAAGCUUGAGGGGUCGAGUCCCUUUGUGGUUG
rnacentral:tRNA from 2 species